GUUAAGGCUGAGGCGUGAUGACGAGGCACCACGGUGCUGAAGUGACAAAUGCCCUGCUUCCAGGAAAAGCCUCUAAGCAUCAGGUAACAUUAAAUCGUACCCCAAACCGACACAGGUGGUCAGGUAGAGAAUACCAAGGCGCUUGAGAGAACUCGGGUGAAGGAACUAGGCAAAAUGGUGCCGUAACUUCGGGAGAAGGCACGCUGACAUGUAGGUGAAGCCCCUGCGGGUGGAGCUGAAGUCAGUCGAAGAUACCAGCUGGCUGCAACUGUUUAUUAAAAACACAGCACUGUGCAAACACGAAAGUGGACGUAUACGGUGUGACGCCUGCCCGGUGCCGGAAGGUUAAUUGAUGGGGUUAUCGCAAGAGAAGCUCCUGAUCGAAGCCCCGGUAAACGGCGGCCGUAACUAUAACGGUCCUAAGGUAGCGAAAUUCCUUGUCGGGUAAGUUCCGACCUGCACGAAUGGCGUAAUGAUGGCCAGGCUGUCUCCACCCGAGACUCAGUGAAAUUGAACUCGCUGUGAAGAUGCAGUGUACCCGCGGCAAGACGGAAAGACCCCGUGAACCUUUACUACAGCUUGACACUGAACAUUGAGCCUUGAUGUGUAGGAUAGGUGGGAGGCUUUGAAGCGUGGACGCCAGUCUGCGUGGAGCCAACCUUGAAAUACCACCCUUUAAUGUUUGAUGUUCUAACCUGGCGCCGUGAUCCGGCGUGGGGACAGUGUCUGGUGGGUAGUUUGACUGGGGCGGUCUCCUCCCAAAGUGUAACGGAGGAGCACGAAGGUCAGCUAAUCCUGGUCGGACAUCAGGAGGUUAGUGCAAUGGCAUAAGCUGGCUUGACUGCGAGAGUGACGGCUCGAGCAGGUGCGAAAGCAGGUCAUAGUGAUCCGGUGGUUCUGUAUGGAAGGGCCAUCGCUCAACGGAUAAAAGGUACUCCGGGGAUAACAGGCUGAUACCGCCCAAGAGUUCAUAUCGACGGCGGUGUUUGGCACCUCGAUGUCGGCUCAUCACAUCCUGGGGCUGAAGUAGGUCCCAAGGGUAUGGCUGUUCGCCAUUUAAAGUGGUACGCGAGCUGGGUUUAGAACGUCGUGAGACAGUUCGGUCCCUAUCUGCCGUGGGCGCUGGAGAAUUGAGGGGGGCUGCUCCCAGUACGAGAGGACCGGAGUGGACGCAUCACUGGUGUUCGGGUUGUCAUGCCAAUGGCACUGCCCGGUAGCUAAAUGCGGAAGAGAUAAGUGCUGAAAGCAUCUAAGCACGAAACUUGCCCCGAGAUGAGUUCUCCCUGAGACUAUAAGUCUCCUGAAGGAACGUUGAAGACGACGACGUUGAUAGGCCGGGUGUGUAAGCGCAGCGAUGCGUUGAGCUAACCGGUACUAAUGAACCGUGAGGCUUAACCUU
rnacentral:rRNA from 1 species